rnacentral:rRNA from 1 species
UGGGGAAUUGUUCGCAAUGGGCGCAAGCCUGACGACGCAACGCCGCGUGGAGGAUGAAGACUUUCGGGUCGUAAACUCCUGUCGAAUGGGACGAAUAAGACGCGGGCGAACAGCCCGCGUUUCUGACGGUACCGUUAAAGGAAGCCCCGGCUAACUCCGUGCCAGCAGCCGCGGUAAUACGGGGGGGGCAAGCGUUGUUCGGAAUUACUGGGCGUAAAGGGCUCGUAGGCGGCCAACUAAGUCAGACGUGAAAUCCCUCAGCUUAACUGAGGAACUGCGUCUGAUACUGGAUGGCUUGGAUUCGGGAGAGGGAUGCGGAAUUCCAGGUGUAGCGGUGAAAUGCGUAGAUAUCUGGAGGAACACCGGUGGCGAAGGCGGCAUCCUGGACCGAUAUUGACGCUGAGGAGCGAAAGCUAGGGGAGCAAACGG